rnacentral:rRNA from 1 species
GGCUCAGGAUGAACGCUAGCUACAGGCUUAACACAUGCAAGUCGAGGGGAAACGAUAUUGGAAGCUUGCUUCCGAUAGGCGUCGACCGGCGCACGGGUGAGUAACGCGUAUCCAACCUGCCCAUCACUUGGGGAUAACCUUGCGAAAGUAAGACUAAUACCCAAUGACGUCUCUAGAAGACAUCUGAAAGAGAUUAAAGAUUUAUCGGUGAUGGAUGGGGAUGCGUCUGAUUAGCUUGUUGGCGGGGUAACGGCCCACCAAGGCGACGAUCAGUAGGGGUUCUGAGAGGAAGGUCCCCCACAUUGGAACUGAGACACGGUCCAAACUCCUACGGGAGGCAGCAGUGAGGAAUAUUGGUCAAUGGACGAGAGUCUGAACCAGCCAAGUAGCGUGCAGGAUGACGGCCCUAUGGGUUGUAAACUGCUUUUAUAAGGGAAUAAAGUGAGUCUCGUGAGACUUUUUGCAUGUACCUUAUGAAUAAGGACCGGCUAAUUCCGUG